GGGAUUCCCUUAKUAAGUGCGACUGAAACGGGAUGAGCCCAGCGCAUAACCUCGUAUUUCGCCACUAACAUGGCACGAGGGGUGUUGCGUUUCGGAGUGUCUGGCACACCAUCUAGCUACCGCCUAAGUUGUAAUUUGAAUAUGGCCAAUGACCCUUGGAUGGUGAUAGGCCCGUAUGGCGGCGCCCGUGAGGGUACUGGUAUAGAUGGUGGAAAGGGCAUCUCUGUAGAGUCGGGUUGCUUGGUAUUGCAGCCCAAAGCAGGUGGUAAACUCCAUCUAAGGCUAAAUAUGACCACGAGACCGAUAGCGAACAAGUACCGUGAGGGAAAGUUGAAAAGAACUUUGAAGAGAGAGUUCAAUAGUACGUGAAACCGUUAAGAGCCUAAACGGGCGGAACCUUGUAGAUCGAACUGAGUGGAUUCAGCUCGCCGGCGGGGCCUGCACUGGAGGUUCAAGCAUGUCUCAAAUAAAGGACUGUGAAACGACCCUAAACUACAUAUUGCGGAAGACUUCUCUGCCUCGGCAUUGACCUCUUCUUCGCAUUAGGGCGUGCCUCUAGGGUAAGGUUGGCGUUGGUUGGCGUAUUUCCGACUCAUUAGUAGAUCACCGCGACCCGUUGCUGGGGACGUCUAAGGCCCGGUCGGAUUGGUAGCCCGUCAUGAAAACCUUGUUGGGAAUUUCCCUCUGGGCUUGGAUUGGCGCGGUGAAACCGCCGGUGACUAUUUAUCCUGACUGCCCUGCSACGGUCGUCUGUGGAACCUUUCUCACGAGAUUGGUUCUCGCGGUGUGUGCAAAUAAAGUCAGUGAACCACCCGACCCGUCUUGAAACACGGACCAAGGAGUCUAACAUGUGUGCGAGUCAAUGGGCGCACUAAACCCACAGGCGAAAUGAAAGUGACAAACAUCACUGGUGUUGUAAUGACAUCAUGGGCUGAUCCCUGGCUGUACAUCUGCUGGCUUGACUCGGCGGGAGUAGUAAGUGGGUGAGUCCUCUUUCCCUACCGAACCUCUCACGGGUGUUUGCUGCGGCUCUGGAAGGCCUGUACUUAUAAAACUCUAUUGUAGAGGGGGCGCAAGCCCGGGGCAUGCUACCUUUAAGGCACACCGUGGGUCCGCCAUAUGUUCUCUCAUAACGCUCCCUCGAAUUCCCUACGCCGUUCUGUACGUUCUUGUAACUUGUAAAAGUUAUGUUCGUGCGUGUGGUUAUGAAGGUUUACCGGGUUUAAGUUGGGCGUACAUUGAGUUCAUUAGGGCUUUCACACUCGUAGCCUGCAUGUACCUUGAGCAUACAUGUUAGUACCCGAAAGAUGGUGAACUAUGCCUGGCCAGGAUGAAGCCAGAGGAAACUCUGGUGGAGGUCCGGAGCGAUUCUGACGUGCAAAUCGAUCGUCAGAGCUGGGCAUAGGGGCGAAAGACUAAUCGAACCAUCUAKAAGMUGUGUCCCUCCCAAAAUUCCCUCACGAUAMUGUGACUCUAUAAAGAUGAAUUUCAUCUGGUAAAGAGAAUGAUUAGAGGCCUUGGGGACGAAACGUCCUCAACCUAUUCUCAAACUUUCAAUGGGUGAGAUGCCAAGCUUGCUUUGACUGUUGAGUGAAGCUUUGGCGAUUAAUCAGAGUAUCUAGUGGGCCACUUUUGGUAAGCAGAACUGGCGCUGUGGGAUGAACCAAACGUCGAGUUAAGGGGCSUAAAUGAAUGCUAAUACAGAACCCAGAAAAGGUGUGGGUUGCUAUAGACAGCAGGACGGUGGCCAUGGAAGUUGGAAUCCGCUAAGGAGUGUGUAACAACUCACCUGCCGAAGCAACUAGCCCUUAAAAUGGUAUGGCGCUCAAGCAUUCUCCCGAUACUCGACCGCCGGGGCACUACGGGCGCUUGUUAUCAAGUGCCUCGAAGCCCCGGUGAGUAGGAGGGCGCGAUGGUGAGCCUUGAAGGGUUCGACGUGAGUCGGCCUGGAGCCACCAUUGGUGCAGAUCUUGGUGGUAGUAGCAAAUAAUCGAGAGAGACACCCUUGUAGACUGAUGCGGAGAAGGGUUUCAUGUGAACAUCACUUGAACAUGAAGUAGUCGGUCCUAAGUCCGAGGUUAAAUCCUGAUUCCCAUGCGAGUAGGCAUGAAGUAUCGAGAGUGUACCAUACAACUUACAAAUUUAUUUGUUUGUUUCGUCAGUACAGCAUAGAGGUAUGCACCUGGGCAYCCAGCAUACUGUUCCUCUCGAGUAACAUCUUAAAACUGGUAUAUUGCUUCGUUCGCACCCUUUUACUCUAUGUUCUUCGGAUACAGAUAGUUGUUUACGGGGGAGAAGCUUAUGCCCAAGUGCCUGUAUGUGAAAUUAGUGGCGAAAGGGAAUAUGGUAUUGAUUCCAUAACCUGAUCCGGAUGAUCCUGCGAAUUGGGGCUUGUCUUCGCUUUAAUUAGUGUCGACUCGUUCCCGGUUCGUAGGAAUGCAGGGACCUGGUAACGGGAAGAAGCCUGCGCCCAUCGGUAGAGGUCCGGGAAAGAGUUUUCUUUUCUGUUUAAGGCGCUGUGACCCUGGAAGCUACUCGCUGUGAGAAAGGGUGUAUGUAUACACAGUUGCCGUAGAGUGCUACGGUUCUUGUAGCAUCCCGCGUACUUCUACCGGUCCGUGAAACCGCAGAUGCCGAACCUGCGCAGGAGAAGAGGGAGAUCCCAGAACCCUCGAUGUACCUGUUUUCGGAUGAGUCCGUACUCAUUUCCGCAU
rnacentral:rRNA from 1 species